rnacentral:rRNA from 1 species
AUUGAACGCUGGCGGCAGGCUUAACACAUGCAAGUCGAACGAGCGGCGGACGGGUGAGUAAUGUCUGGGAAUCUGCCUGAUGGAGGGGGAUAACUACUGGAAACUGUAGCUAAUACCGCGUACCAUCAGAUGAGCCCAAAUGGGAUUAGCUAGUAGGUGGGGUAAAGGCUCACCAAGCCGACGAUCCCUAGCUGGUCUGAGAGGAUGACCAGCCACACUGGAACUGAGACACGGCCAAGACUCCGACGGGAGGCAGCAGUGGGGAAUAUGGCGCAAUGGGCGCAACCCUGAAGCAGCAAUGCCGCGUGUGUGAAGAAGGCCUUCGGGUUGUAAAGUUCUUUCAGUGGGGAGGCGUUAAUCACAGAAGAAGCACCGGCUAACUCCGUGCCAGCAGCCGCGGUAAUAC